rnacentral:lncRNA from 1 species
GCUGCACGCCGCGCUCGCCCGCUUCGCGCACGCACCCGCGCACGCGGCGCCGCUACUGCACAAGGUGCCGGAUGAGUGGCAGCUGCUGUGGGCGGGCCCGGAUGCACCAGAAGUGUAUCUCAGAGAGUUCAGUGCGCGCGCCCGGGCCGCCGUCCAGAGAAGCCGUGACCUUAAAUCUAACGACGACUACUUUCCUACAGAGGUGGACGUGCGCACGUUCGUCCGCCCGCAGCGCGUGCUGAGUGCGCUGCGUGCCCGCUCCGCCGCGCAGCGCGCCUGCGCCGCACACGCGCUCGCUCUCGCGGCCAAGUGGGACUGUACCGGUAACUGUGCACUCUACU